rnacentral:rRNA from 1 species
AUUGAACGCUAGCGGCAGGCCUAACACAUGCAAGUCGAGCGAGCGGCGGACGGGUGGGUGAUGUAUGCGGACUGCCCGAUAGAGUGGGCUAACUACUGGAAACGGUAGCUAAUACAACAUCCUUUCGGAUAGACCAUAUGGGAUUACCUAGGGGGUGAGGUAAUGGCUCACCUAGGCUACGAUCCCUAGCGGGUGUGAGUGGGUGAUAAGCCACACGGGGACGUAGACGCGGUCCAGACUCCUACGGAGGCAGCAGUGGGGAAAAGUGCACAAGGGGCGCAAGCCUAACGCAGCCAGGCCGCGUGUAUGAAUAAGGCCCUAGGGUUGGAAAGUACUUUUAGUCUUGUGUAGGGACCGACAGAAGAAGCACCGGCUAACUCCGUGCCAGCCGCCGCGGUAAUUC